GAUGAACGCUGGCGGCGUGCCUAAUACAUGCAAGUCGAGCGAACAGACGAGGAGCUUGCUCCUCUGACGUUAGCGGCGGACGGGUGAGUAACACGUGGAUAACCUACCUAUAAGACUGGGAUAACUUCGGGAAACCGGAGCUAAUACCGGAUAAUAUAUUGAACCGCAUGGUUCAAUAGUGAAAGACGGUUUUGCUGUCACUUAUAGAUGGAUCCGCGCCGCAUUAGCUAGUUGGUAAGGUAACGGCUUACCAAGGCGACGAUGCGUAGCCGACCUGAGAGGGUGAGCGGCCACACUGGAACUGAGACACGGUCCAGACUCCUACGGGAGGCAGCAGUAGGGAAUCUUCCGCAAUGGGCGAAAGCCUGGCGGAGCAACGCCGCGUGAGUGAUGAAGGUCUUCGGAUCGUAAAACUCUGUUAUUAGGGAAGAACAAAUGUGUAAGUAACUGUGCACCUCUUGACGGUACCUAAUCAGAAAGCCACGGCUAACUACGUG
rnacentral:rRNA from 1 species